UUGUCAUCCUUAAAAGUUUAAACAUAACUUUAAUUUUAUUCUAGCAGUUAUUUAGAUUAAAUAAUCCAACAAAACUUAAUAAUAUUUUGAUCAUGUUUGCCAACAAAGAAAUAGCUACAUAUCCGGCUAAAUAUGUGCCAGCCGCCGCGGUUAGACAAGCGGGUUAAAUAAAAUUUAUGAUAAUGAUCGAAUGAUUUGAAACUUUUAAAUUUGGAGGUGAAAUUUGAUUUUUGAUGAAAUAAAAGUUAUUGUGUCAUUAGGCCCCAAAAAUUUAUGACUAGGAUUAGAUACCCUAUUAAAAUUGGACUUAAAAGGUAGUAAAUUUAGUUGAAACCUAAAUGGUUUGGCGGUUUUUAAUCUGAUUAGAGGAGUUUGUAGUGUAAUCGAUGUCCCCCGUUAAAUUUUACUUUAAUUUAGUUUAUAUACCGCCGUUUAGAUAUUUUUUAUAGAAUUUUUCUAUUUAAAUUAAUGUUCAAAAAUCAGGUCAAGGUGUAGCGUAUAUUAAAGUAUUAGUGAACUACUAUUGAAAUAUAAAUGGAUUAAAUACUUAAAAGUAUUUAUAAAACAGGAUUUAAAAGUAAAUAUAAAAUAGUGUUUUAUUUUGAAGUAGAUUUUAAAAAUGUACAUAUCGCCCGUCACUCUCAUUAUAAUAUGAGAUAAGUCGUAACAUAGUUGAGGUACUGGAAAGUGCCUCUAGA
rnacentral:ncRNA from 1 species